CUCAAUUUUGCUGGAGCCAGGAGGCAGAGGCAGAGAGGGAGAGAACACUCCAUUUUCUUGCCGGUAGCUACUGCACUUUUUCUUACUGGUGCUCCGUACCGGCCUGUACCUGCUUACUUUCACCUCUGGCCUGAGCGGUUAUCUUGACUGUAGUUAUUCCAUGGCAGUCAUGCAGGCUGAGCUAGCGGGAAUCACAUCUCAUGGCUCAAGGCGUGCAGUGCUCCCUGCAUGCGUUCCGGAAGGAAUUGUACAUGAACACAUUAUACAAAUGGCCAGGUGCAUUUGAGUGGCUUUGCCUUCCUGUGAAGCGUCAGUCAAGGCUGCUACUACGUCUGAGCCAGACUGGCAAACCCUCUGCUUCUAUUUAUCCUGACCCCGGUUUCCGCUUCCCCAUUCAGCACAAACACCACUGCUCAGGGAGCAAUUAUUUUCCUCUCCGACCGUGCUCCCCUCUGGCCAGCUGCGCACCCGAGCCACAUAUCCAGGCAGAGCACGCAAGCAUCCUGGCUACCACGCCCGCUGUGCAGGGGGCAGCAGGCUUUAAGCUGAAGCAAGUGGUGCCUUAAUGGUUUAGUGUCAGCGCUGUUCAUCUGCUGACUGAAAAGAAUUCCACUGCAGACCACCAACCUGAAGCGAGGGCAUGUGGGUUUGUUUUGCCUCCAGACCGGUUUCUCAAACGCCCCGUGGGGAAGGAUUUGCACCAGAACUUGUCAGCAUUUAAGCUGCUCAAAGUGGAAUUUGUUUCUCCAGGAGGGCAAGCGGCAUUUUUGCAACAAGCCCCUGCUGGGACUGACAUACCAGCUGUACAGCGUGACCCAUCCCGCGGGGGUGUGUGGGGGGAAGUCUCUCACAACAAGCUUCGUCUCCCGGAUGGAAUGCAACAGGCAGACGGACUCAGAAGGAGGGCAGCUUGGAGAGUGAACGCAGAGUCUCGCUUUUCUCCCUCUCUACUGCUCUGAUCAAAAGGGUCAGCUGCUCGUUAAUGGUGGCAGGUGCUGGGUUUUCCGUCUGAUCAGAAAGGUGGGGGUCUCCAGGGUACGAUUCGGUGCUGAGUGAAAGGGCAAAGCAGCCAUGCUGCUGAGCUUUGCUUCAAGCCUGCCUCAGAGAGAGAGAGCAAUGUUAGCAAUACUUUCCCUCAAG
rnacentral:lncRNA from 1 species